AAUUUUAUUUUAUACUAGUGUUGAAAAUUGUCAAAAAUUCAAUCUAAAAUUUUUUACAGGACCGAGUCAGGUUGGACAAUUUCCCCCACCCAACAUCUUGAUGUCAAUUUAAUGUCGAGUAAUAACCAUCAAAGUGAUUAAAUCGAACGGCCUUCAAAAUUCAUCUCCAUACCCAAACUUAUUACAUUUAACAAUCUCAUCACUACAGAAUUAUAAUAAAUCCAUGCACAUCACACGAUCAAACUAAUUCAGCUUUAAACUCAACAAUUCCAUAGCUAUAAGCCGAUAUUUCAGAUCGCAGUGAAGACCGAGACGACCAAACCGUAGAAGAAAACAAAUGCAACCCCCCAUGAUCCGGGGACGAUAUCCGGCCGGUGUUUGGACCCACCAGAGCUCCCUCCUGGGAGGGGCGUCGC
rnacentral:lncRNA from 1 species